CCUACGGGUGGCUGCAGUGGGGAAUAUUGCACAAUGGGCGCAAGCCUGAUGCAGCCAUGCCGCGUGUGUGAAGAAGGCCUUCGGGUUGUAAAGCACUUUCAGCGGGGAGGAAGGCGGUGAGGUUAAUAACCUCAUCGAUUGACGUUACCCGCAGAAGAAGCACCGGCUAACUCCGUGCCAGCAGCCGCGGUAAUACGGAGGGUGCAAGCGUUAAUCGGAAUUACUGGGCGUAAAGCGCACGCAGGCGGUCUGUCAAGUCGGAUGUGAAAUCCCCGGGCUCAACCUGGGAACUGCAUUCGAAACGGGCAGGCUAGAGUCUUGUAGAGGGGGGUAGAAUGCCAGGUGUAGCGGUGAAAUGCGUAGAGAUCUGGAGGAAUACCGGUGGCGAAGGCGGCCCCCUGGACAAAGACUGACGCUCAGGUGCGAAAGCGUGGGGAGCAAACAGGAUUAGAUACCCUAGUAGUC
rnacentral:rRNA from 1 species